CUCGCUCACUUUGGUUGCUUCGCUUUCCUUCAGACGGAUCGCUAGCCUCUCUUGCUCGCUUUGGUUGCUUUGCUCUCCUUCGGACGAAUCGCUCGCUCGUUUGCUUCGAUGGUUCACUUCGCUCGUUCCCUCGCUCAACUACAGGUCAAUCCAAAGUUUAAGGCUUUUAGGACGAAAGGCAUACAUCCUGAUCUUGGAGAGAAGUUAGAUAUGAUAUUUAGAGAUACAGUUGCUACUGGAGGAGUCACAUAGAAUCCUGGGCAAGGCUUAUGUAUUAAUAAUGAUAAUGAGGUCACACAACCUGGUAUCAAUGAUGGCGUAGGAUCUACUAAUGAAAAUUUGGAGUGUCAUGUAGAUGAAACCAUUGUUGAACCAAUUGGACCUCAAAGCUGUAAAAGAGCCGCGCAAACUUCAACAAGGCAAGCUCAAGGAAAAAAAGAUAAGAAAUUGAGCACAAGAGAAGAGCUUGGGACGCAAAUUAACAGGCUAGUUGCAGCUGUUGAAAGUAGAAGAAAUGCCACUGCCACAUCUCAAGCAACCACCAAUGUAGUCGGCCCUUACAAAGACCUCAUAGAUAUAUUGGAUACCAUAACUGAGAUUGUGGAAGACGAAAUGUUGUACUAUUUUGCAAUCUCUCAUUUGAAGGAAAAGAUAGACAAUAGGCAGGUUGUCAUGAGCUUAAAGGAUGAUGCAAAAAGAGUCAAGUAUCUCAAGUAUGAGUUUGGAAGACAAUCAGGUCUUCGUAGAUAGGAUGUUAGCAUCUUAUUAUUUUCAUGUUUGAAGGGAGUCAUGCUACUUUUUUUUCCUGUUUGAAGAGAGUGAUGUUACUUUGUUUCUAUUGAUGGAUCUUUAUUUGCAUUCCUAUGAACCCAAUUUCUAUUAAUGUUUUAAUGUGAGAAUUGUUU